rnacentral:rRNA from 1 species
ACCCAAAGUCACUUUAGCCAACCUGCAAAGGAGGCGAGUGCCUAAGGUAUGGGGGAUGAUUGGGGUGAAGUCGUAACAAGGUAGCUGUAGGUGAACCUGCCAGAAGGAUCA